UACGUAGGGUGCGAGCGUUGUCCGGAAUUAUUGGGCGUAAAGGGCUCGUAGGCGGUUUGUCGCGUCGGGAGUGAAAACCCAGGGCUUAACCCUGGGCUGGCUUUCGAUACGGGCAGACUAGAGGUAUGCAGGGGAGAACGGAAUUCCUGGUGUAGCGGUGAAAUGCGCAGAUAUCAGGAGGAACACCGGUGGCGAAGGCGGUUCUCUGGGCAUUACCUGACGCUGAGGAGCGAAAGCGUGGGGAGCAAACAGG
rnacentral:rRNA from 1 species